AGCUAUAGCUGCUGGCCUACACCACAGCCAUGGCAACACCGGAUCCUAGCCACAUCUGCAACUUACAUGGUACUUUGUGGCAACCUUGGAACCUUAACCCACUGCGUGAGGCCAGGGAUUAAACCCGUAUCCUUACAGAGACAAGGUUGGGUCCUGAACCCGCUUAGCCACGAAACAAACUCCAGUAAAUGAAUACACCUUACUUCCACUUUUAGUCCCUGUGGACAGGUGUCUUUUUUCUUUUUAUUUCUUUUUCACCUCAUUGCUUUGAAAUUGGCAUACCUGAAGAUUCCUAGGGUGGCUUUGCUCCUCUCUGAAUUUAACUUUAUACUGUUUCACUUAUACCUCUGCCAAGAUUGGUGCCAUGAUUCUCACCUUUAUGAACAAUGUCAUCAUUUAUGGCUUUCAAAGUUACCCCUUGGCACUGUGGCAGAAAGUGAGUCAUCAUACACCCAUGAAAUCUAAGAUGAUUCUGAGAUAAUGCAGAAAAGAUUAGCUAUCUCACACCUUUCUCCUCACUCUGUUUUUCAUUCUGGCUCUCUGCCCCUGGCUGACAAAAUGUGCACGUAACUUUCUAUCCUCAUUCUGAAUUGCAUUCUGAGACUAGAAUGCCUUGACACCCACAUGCCUCUCAUCAAAAUCCUAACAUUGAUUUAAAAUGCAUGAGUCAUUUUAUUCAUAUCUCGGGCUCUGUAUGGGAAAAUGCUGAUCCUAGACAAAAGGAAACCCUAAUUUCCUCCCCCUCCUUAAUUUUCCAUGAUCCUCCAUAGCCUAUACAGCAUUUCUGGCCCACCCUUCAUAGAGCUGAUGGCUUUACAACACCUCUCAGUCAAUAAGGCUCCAUACUUGAAGGGGUUGGAGGAAUUACCGCUUGAUUCAUCAUACACAGGCACACACUCUUUUUCAAGUUCUUUAGGUCUGCCACCUCUGUGGAGAAAAAUGAUUCCUUUGGUAGAUGCAUGUGGAGGGGAGAGGGAAGAGAAGAGAAAUUAGGGUUAGAUUCGGAGGAGGACUAGGGCAUCUCUCUGUGGGUGUAUAUUGACACACUGUCUCUCAUGGAUGACACAAUCCAUUUCAUUUUCUUCUUAGUUCCUAUAAAGCAUUACGAACCAUCCUGAACAAUCCAUUUUGCAAUAAAAUGCUGUUGCAUUCCAGUAUUACCGUCUGUAGCUUACUUUAAACUCGACCCCACAUCAAAAAUGAGUAAAGCAAGUCAGCUGCUAUAUCUCAGUGGAUGCUCUUAGGUUGUCUUCAGGGCUUGAAAAAUGUCCAUGAAAACCACAGUUAAAAACAAAGUGCAUCAUCUAUCAGUGGACAUGCUUCAAUAAAAUGGAGUGUCACUGCAAACCUCCUUAGAAUGCAAGCACUAAAGCUCUGGAUGUUAGUGCACAGAAGAAUCUAGUCUUUUCAUCUGCCUUAAAUUAAUUAAUCAUCACAUUCAGCUACACACAAAAAACAUGGAGAGGUAGAAAGGUGUUAGGAACAAGGGCUCAGAAUGAAGCACCUCAGUAGACUUAAGGGUGUUAUCACUCACAGACAGGACUGUGGGUGAACUUCUUUACCCCCUCAAGGAUGGAGACAUAGGAAGAUAAAAUGCUGUGAGAUGAAAUGCCUAGUGGAACAGUAUCUUGCUCCCUCUUUUCUGAAUGAUAAUUUAGUUCUAGUCCCACUGUAUCUCUCACUGUCUUCUAAAAUUAUGUUCAAAGUUAAUUUUGUUUUUGAAACAUUCUAGACUAAUCUUAUGGGUCAUAUUUGUAUCUGUGUGUUAGAAACAAAAAUACAUACAUAGAAACAUAGAUGUCCAGGUAGACCUUCAGCUUCUUCCACAUUGGCUAAUGUGACAGUCUCUCCCUGAUGUGGAUACUAGAGAGGUUUGUGUGUGUUGGUCCUGCCUUUUACAUUAAGUUGCUAAUGCUUCCAGCGCAGGGAUCACGGCUACACAAUCCAUUGUUUCUAGAUACCUAUCUGAGAAAGGCAGAUUAUCCUUGUGACCAAAUAUCGGACCUUGGGGUCAGGAUAUCUUGGAUCUACUCAGGCAUGAACUGAGUCAGAUAACAAGCUCUUUGUGCCUCAGACUCCUCUGCUAUAAAUCAGAAUCAGAAGCAAUUUCUUUAUGGGCUGGUCUAAGAAUUCUGAUGGUGGGGGGAAAUUUAUCAGGGAAAGGUAGUAUAGAAAUGAACAGCGCAUCUUUCACCCUAUUCUUCCAGUUGUGCAGAUCCUAAUCCAUUUUCUAUGGCAUUGCAGAAUUUUCAUUUUCUUUUUAAGUAUCUAACUCUGCCCCAUUGCAUGGGUAGUAGAAUUAUUUUAUUUCAUUUUAGCAAUUUAAAUGUUUAUAUAUCAAUUUGAAAAAAUUUUACCCAGUGACCUUUUUCAAUGAGUCAACUUACAGAAAUGUAUUUUCUUUAAUAGGUUCCCUGGAGUCACUUUUUUCCCCCUCAUUUUCCCAUGUUUCCUUUUUAUCGCUGAUCAACUUAUCUGCUUCUGUUUAAAAUAUAAUUCUUUGCAAGGCCCCCAUGGUGAUAUUCACAUGAGGCUUUUCUCUAUCAAGUGCUGUCAUAAUUAGUUUUAUUGUCCAAUUUUUACUAUGUCGUGGGAGAUAACUAAGAUUUAAAGGUCAAAGAGAAAAUGUGGUAGCAAGAGCUGAGGGUGGUUUUGAAACAAGACAGUGACAACGGGACCCAUUGGCCCAAAAAUCAGACUCAGGAAAUUCACUUCUAUUGCCUCCAGUUCCCUGACUGAACACAUAUUUUCAUUAUUCUGAUCAUAAAGUGAUAGAAGUGCUAACACUUGAGGCAUAAAUGAAUGAAUAAACAGCAUCCUAUUAAAUACCAUAAGAGAAAACAAAAAACAAAAAACUUGUCCUUCAAAACUAAGAAUCGAAUUGCAUAGUUAGAUAACAAUAAAAAUAAGGUAAAAUCAAAUAUUAGCAGUACACUUGUCAAAAAAAGAGAGAUUAGAUAAAUUCUGAGGAUGUAAAUGUUCAAGUGAUAUAAAAGAAGUAAAUGACACCAGUUAAAGAAAGCCUUAAAGGACAAGCUCUGGUGAUUUAUUAAAAGUAAACUUAGCUGCUUGCAGAAUGGAUGACUGGACAGGAGAACAAGUUUCAAGACUGCCUGGGGGGAAAAAUGCCCAAACCACAUCUAAUAAUUGGGUCUUAUAUGGAAAAAAGACUACCCUAGAUAGGGAACUUAUACCACUUCCUUCUUGAAGUUUCUAAUCCACAAGUAUAACUAAUGGCCCCGGGACACUUGAUUAGCAGACUGUUGGUCCUAGGCUUAUACCCCAGCUGCUGAGGAUGCUGGGGAAUCAGUUUAUAUUGUAUUUCUCACCAGGAGAAGGAAGUUGCUUACUCCUCACUGAGAUGUGGUUAGGAGAGGGCAGAAAUCUGCAUACUGACCUAAGGAUGGGUAGAUACUGAGCAGCCACAGAGAAUGAGAAUUGCUCACUAUUAGAAUCUUCUUUUUGGUCAGCAUCAGCUUCAUUAAGAUUUGAAAAGAUUCAACAAGGAGAAUAUAUUCCUGCUCUUGGAGUCUUAGCAUGCUAGAGCGAGCAAGGACCUUAAAACUCUUUCAGUCCAAAGUCCUUAACAAAGAAUCCAAGGUCACAUAGAUGAUAACUGGUACAGCCAGUACUAGAACCCUGGUCACCUAAUUCCCACCUAGUGUGUCCUUGCACCCCUGCACCAAGUGUAAUUAUAAGAGAGAUCCUUACUUCUUGGAAGAAUGAAAGCAGAGUCAUAGUCUCUCUCUGCUUGAGGGAGCCCUCCUAUUCCAUUGAGAUACAAAGUUGUACCAGGACAGCACUGUCUAGGGCAUUUGUAAUAAAGCACUACAUGAUUAUCCUCUCUAACUAGCCCUAGGCUAUGCUCCCUUAACCUCUUGAUUCCCCUGUGGUUUCCGUUUUGUUUGUCUACAACAUAUUCUAUUCUCUUUGAAAACGCAGAGAACUCCAUUUGGGAUACAACUCAGAGGAAAAGAGCUAUGAAAGGAAGGCUCUAUUCUUCACAGGUAGGUGAAACUGUAUACUUCUCUGUGGGACUCACUUUCUUGAUCUGUAAUACCAGCUGACAUAACUCUCAGGUUCUUAGUUUUAUUUAGUUUAAUGUGUGUUUUUUUCUUUUAGGAUUAGAUGAGACUACAAUGUACAAAUGAGGUUCACAGUAAAUGUUCAUGGAAUGAAUGAAAACUGUGGGGAGGUUUUUUAAGUGCAUUUAUACACACAUGUAAGAAAACCAGCCUUCUCUCUCACACACUCACUCUCAAUCAUAUCCCUUUCUCUGACUCUAUCUCUCUCAGCUCUACAGAUAUAAUAUACAGAUACAUACCAUACAGAUGUAUGUUUAUCCAUAAGCAAGUACUACUUCUGUCCAUCAAGGGUAUAAAUAUUUCAUUAGGGAAAUGUCAAAAUUUGCAAGUCUUUACCAUCAAGCCACAACUAUGUGGUCCCUCUAUCCUUUAGCCUCUGACAUCCUUCCGAUGUCAGAAUCUGUUAAUUUCUGCCAUUUCUUUGGCUAAAUAGUCUCCCAAAUAACAAAGUCUUACUAGUCUUAACUAGUAACUUAGAUACACACCUGACGGUCUAUUGAACACUGUUCUCAGCACAUUUAUAUGACACUAUAUAUUUUGCUUUUUUUUUUUCUAUGACAGAUAUUCCUAUGGCUC
rnacentral:lncRNA from 1 species